CCAACUUGGCCUAUUUGUUUGAGUAAAGUGAGACUUAAUUUGGUUUUGAGGCCCAUCUAAUACUAUUAGAUAAAAUAAAGUUGGGAUAAAAGCAUACGAGGAUAUGCUUCUACGUUUUUCGGUGGGUCUGCAGAAAAUAUAUCGUAAGCAACUCAUCGCGAUGUGCGGAACGCAAUAUUAUGUACGUAAACAACAAAUAGGGUAUUUUCUCACCGUACUUUCUCACGCCUGUAACGCAAUCUCCCGUAAUCCCAAACGAAGCAUGUUUGUUUCCAUUACGUGCGUGAGAAAGUACAAUGAAAAAAAAUAUUUUAUUUAUUUGCGUACAUAAUAUUGCGUUCCGCAUAUUACGAUGAGUUGGUUAUGAUAUAUUUUCUAUAGUCCAACCAGAGAACGUAGAAGUAUAUUCUUAUAUAUUUUUAGCCCAACUUCAUUUUAUCUAAUAGCGUCAGAUGGAUCUCAAUUCCAAACUAAGUCGAAGCCUAACUUGGAGAAGUAACAAUUGCAGCUGAAAAUAAAAU
rnacentral:lncRNA from 1 species